rnacentral:rRNA from 1 species
UACGUAGGGUGCAAGCGUUGUCCGGAAUUAUUGGGCGUAAAGAGCUCGUAGGCGGUUUGGCGCGUCUGCUGUGAAAACUCGGGGCUUAACCUCGGGCCUGCAGUGGGUACGGGCAGACUAGAGUGCGGUAGGGGAGACUGGAAUUCCUGGUGUAGCGGUGAAAUGCGCAGAUAUCAGGAGGAACACCGGUGGCGAAGGCGGGUCUCUGGGCCGUAACUGACGCUGAGGAGCGAAAGCGUGGGGAGCGAACAGG